GGCUGAUCUCUUUCUGCUGUUCCUUUGAAUGAAUUCUGUGUUUAUGACCUCUGUGCUGACU
rnacentral:snoRNA from 1 species